GAUGAAGAACGCAGCGAAAUGCGAUACGUAAUGUGAAUUGCAGAAUUCAGUGAAUCAUCGAGUCUUUGAACGCACAUUGCGCCCCCUGGUAUUCCGAGGGGCAUGCCUGUUCGAGCGUCAUUAUAACCCUCAAGCUCAGCUUGGUGUUGGGGCCUGCUGCACUGGCAGCCCUUAAAAUCAGUGGCGGCGCCAUCUGGCUCUAAGCGUAGUAAUUCUUCUCGCUAUGGAGUCCUGGUGGAUGCUUGCCAUCAACCCCCAAUUUUUCUAUGGUUGACCUCGGAUCAGGUAGGGAUACCCGCUGAACUUAAGCAUAUCAUAAGCGGAGGA
rnacentral:misc_RNA from 1 species